rnacentral:rRNA from 1 species
GACGAACGCUGGCGGCGUGCUUAACACAUGCAAGUCGUACGGUAAGGCCCUUUCGGGGGUACACGAGUGGCGAACGGGUGAGUAACACGUGAGUAACCUGCCCACAACUUUGGGAUAACGCUAGGAAACUGGUGCUAAUACUGGAUAUGUGCUCCUGCUGCAUGGUGGGGGUUGGAAAGCUCCGGCGGUUGUGGAUGGACUCGCGGCCUAUCAGCUUGUUGGUGGGGUAGUGCCUACCAAGGCGGCGACGGGUAGCCGGCCUGAGAGGGUGACCGGCCACAUUGGGACUGAGAUACGGCCCAGACUCCUACGGGAGGCAGCAGUGGGGAAUAUUGCACAAUGGGCGCAAGCCUGAUGCAGCAACGCCGCGGGCGGGAUGACGGCCUUCGGGUUGUAAACCGCUUUCAGCAGGGACGAAGCUUUUUGUGACGGUACCUGCAGAAGAAGCACCGGCUAACUACGUG